rnacentral:rRNA from 1 species
CUCGUAGGUGGUUGGUCACGUCUGCUGUGGAAACGCAACGCUUAACGUUGCGCGUGCAGUGGGUACGGGCUGACUAGAGUUCUGUAGAGGGGGGUAGAAUUCCAGGUGUAGCGGUGAAAUGCGUAGAGAUCUGGAGGAAUACCGAUUGCGAAGGCAGCCCCCUGGACAGUGACUGACGCUCAUAUGCGAAAGCGUGGGGAUCAAACAGGAUUAGAUACCCCAGUA